CACAGCAAAGGACUAGAAGGAGCCAGUUACCAAGAAUCAUUGUACAAUGCUUUGCAGUCUCUAAGAGACAGAGAAUUCUCCAUAUUUUGAGAAAGUCUCAAAUAUGCUAGAGUAAGAGAAGUGGAAGAGCUGUGUAAGGGCAGCCUCGAGUCUGUGUAUUCACUGUACCCCACACUGAGCAGAUUACAGGCCAUCGGAGAGCUGGAAAACAUCGGGGAGCUUUUCUCAAGAUCAUUUAUGGACAA